rnacentral:rRNA from 1 species
UACAGAGGGGGCAAGCGUUGUUCGGAUUUACUGGGCGUAAAGGGCGCGUAGGCGGUCAGCACAAGUCAGUUGUGAAAUCCCCGGGCUCAACCUGGGAACUGCAUCUGUGACUGCAUCGCUGGAGUACGGCAGAGGGGGAUGGAAUUCCGCGUGUAGCAGUGAAAUGCGUAGAUAUGCGGAGGAACACCGAUGGCGAAGGCAAUCCCCUGGGCCUGUACUGACGCUCAUGCACGAAAGCGUGGGGAGCAAACAGG